rnacentral:lncRNA from 1 species
CCGUACAAUCUUUCACGUAUACGACAUAUGUCUACAAGCCUCUAAGAAUACAUAUAUGCCAUAAAGGUCGGAAUAGAGUCCCGCCAUACCAAACAAUACACGUCUAAAUCAUACUAACCAAACGAGCAACUCCGAAGCAAAUGGAGCGCACCAACAUCUUCUGCUGAGCUGAUAGUCUACUUGGAGGGCUCUCGACCUGUCUAUAGGGACCUAAGGGCAUAAAAUGCACCAUCCCCAGGCAAAGGGACGUCAGUACAAAUAAUGGACCGAGUAUGUAAGGCACAUAAAUAAAUACAUUAGAGACAUGAAAGACAUAUAAAGCACAUGACUCAACCUGUACGUCUGAAUAACUUUGUAAAUCAUAAAUUGCUUUUAACGUCAUGCAUAUGCGUAUGAAUGACAUGUCGUGCAUAGGUACAUGUUUUAUAACAUCAUCAGCCUCUGAGGGCAUCAUAUCAUAUCAUAUCGGUCACUGAGGGCAAAAUCAUCAUCGUAUACCAGCUGAUCAGGUGGUGGUGCGUAUAUAACGCCAUAACCUUUCCCAUAUCCUAUAUGCAUAUAUAUACGUGUAUAUAACGCCGUUUGAGUACAUACAUAUAUAUGCGUAUAUAACAAGAUUUGAAUCAUAUUUCAGCCACUUUGGGCAUCAUCAUCAUCAUAUACCAGCUGAUCAGGUGGUGGUGCGUAUAUAACGCCGUAACCUUUUCCCAUAUACCAUAUACAUAUAUUUACAUAUAUACGCGUAUAUAACGCCAUCUGGUCAUGGGUCAAUGUACAUGAAUGCAAUGCAUGAAACGUACGUCAAUAAAAUCAUUUGGAAUGUUAUAAGACCAUUUUGCCUCUUGAGCAAUAUCAUAAAGUAACAUCUUUUCAACUUUUGUAUUUUUCUGAGACCCAUGAACAAAUGAUAAAAUAUUAUGACACAUGGAAAUUAAAGAACAUAGAUAUUUCUAUUACUUCUAUGAGUAGAGUCACUUAUGGAAUUUGUGCAUUUGCACAUUUCGUAUCGUAUGGAUCAUGCCAAAAGAAAGAAAGGAUAGCCUUAACAUACCUAUUCUUUGAAUUAUCCGAAUGAAAUGAAGCUUCUGCUUUUGAAUCCUUGAGCGAAAAUUGGCACUGGAUUCCUUGAAAUUUUGGACGGAAUCGUUUCUGCUUUAAAACGUUUUUGUGUACUAUGAGAAUUGGCUUAUGAUCUCUAAAAUGUUUUCCUGCUUUUGUAUACUUUGGGACGUUAGUUUCCUUUAUCCAAAAUGAAGAAACUUAACUUUUUGAUCUCUAAUGUAGUUAGAAUGAAAU